GAACCGUACAAACGUUAUUCGGAAUCACUGGGGCUUAAAGGGUGCGUAGGCGGCCUGGCAAGUUGGGGGGUGUGAAAUCCCUCGGGCUCAACCGAGGGAACUGCGCUCAAAACUGCCAGGCUAGAGGGAGAUAGAGGUGAGCGGAACUUAUGGUGGAGCGGUGAAAUGCGUUGAUAUUAUAAGGAACACCUGUGGCGAAAGCGGCUCACUGGAUCUCUUCUGACGCUGAGGCACGAAAGCUAGGGUAGUGAACGGGAUUAGAUACCCCGGUAGUCCUAGCUGUAAACGAUGAGCACUGGGUUGGAGGCUCCUCCAUAGGCUUCCGGCCGAAGCGAAAGUGUUAAGUGCUCCGCCUGGGGAGUAUGGUCGCAAGGCUG
rnacentral:rRNA from 1 species